GAGUGAAGCUGUGAACACGUUUUAAAAUAAUAUGUUUGCUUGACUUAUUGAAAUGGAGAGGUAACUGCAAGGAAUGGAUCUGCGGACCUCAGACUCUGUUUGGAUCUGCAUUAUGUAUUCCAUUGAGCCAUCGGGCAACCUGAAGGUUUAAAUAAUUCUGUUGGUAAUCCUGAAGCUGGAAAAAAUAACAAGCAGGGAUAGGUAGUAGGGUGUCUGACAUUCGACCUCUCAUCCCCUACAAGGAGAGGAUCUUGAUCCUUAUCAGGAGGUAAUAAUCUGGUUCUGUGGAAAUGCUGAAAUGUCCACGAUCUAGCAAACAGGUACCAAUUAGAUGUUGACAUCCAUGAUCAAGCAGAUGGUACCUCAACACAAGAAUAUCUGAGAAAGACAGCACGGGCUUCUGAGGAAGUACCAGCAAGUCUACGUCUUGCACUGCCCACCAGCUCAGAUACUGACACAUCGGCAGGACGGUUAGCUCGAUCAGAGUCAGGAGCACCUCCUGGUGAGCAAACCCUCUGCAGCUGGUUGAGGAAAAAACGCCCGAAGUCUCUGGCACUUGGAGAACUACCAGAGACCAGGCACCUGUCCAGCUUUAGGCACCAAAGGACCCCAUGGUGUUAGCAAUUCGUGACUUCGUGCAAAUGCACGAGCUAGCACUGCGCAACUUGACACACACAGGUUAGAAGGCUACAGCACCAUGGCUGGGACCCUUUAGCCAAAAGAACACUGCUGACAUCUUGUAACCAUGACGGGUACUGACAUGUUCCAUUCACAAUGCACAAAGUCCCUGAUAUGGAUCAAUUUUAUUGAUCUCAGGAGAGAGUCAAUUGUAGUACAUGCCUGAUGGAAAUAAAACUCCUAUUGACGUGGUCUCUACUCUGACUAGGCUAGCUGAUUCCAUAGCCUCAACAACCCAUGUAUUGCUUACCUUUACAAACAUCCUCUUCAACAGCAGGAUAUGUUCUGGGUAUAUUGUUUUCCACAUACUGUGUGUCACUUCACUCAUUAAAAUCUACCCCCUGUACGCACUUCUUCAGGUUCUGUGUGUAAGCCCUGUUGUGUUAAAUGUUGCCUUUGGAGAUUACUAGAACUACUGU